rnacentral:rRNA from 1 species
UGAGGAAUAUUGGUCAAUGGGCGGAAGCCUGAACCAGCCAAGUAGCGUGCAGGAUGACGGCCCUAUGGGUUGUAAACUGCUUUUAGGCGGGGGUAAAGUGGCGGACGUGUUCCGCCUUUGCAGGUACCCUGCGAAUAAGGACCGGCUAAUUCCGUGCCAGCAGCCGCGGUAAUACGGAAGGUCCGGGCGUUAUCCGGAUUUAUUGGGUUUAAAGGGAGCACAGGCCGGCUGUCAAGCGUGUUGUGAAAUGUAGGGGCUCAACCUCUGAACUGCAGCGCGAACUGACGGUCUUGAGUGCGCACAACGUUGGCGGAAUUCGUCGUGUAGCGGUGAAAUGCUUAGAUAUGACGAAGAACUCCGAUUGCGAAGGCAGCUGACGGGAGCGUUACUGACGCUUAAGCUCGAAAGUGCGGGUAUCGAACAGGAUUAGAUACCCUGGUAGU